rnacentral:rRNA from 1 species
GACGAACGCUGGCGGCGUGCUUAACACAUGCAAGUCGAACGGAAAGGCCCUUCGGGGUACUCGAGUGGCGAACGGGUGAGUAACACGUGGGUGAUCUGCCCUGCACUUUGGGAUAAGCCUGGGAAACUGGGUCUAAUACCGAAUAGGACCACGCGCUUCAUGGUGUGUGGUGGAAAGCUUUUGCGGUGUGGGAUGGGCCCGCGGCCUAUCAGCUUGUUGGUGGGGUAAUGGCCUACCAAGGCGACGACGGGUAGCCGGCCUGAGAGGGUGACCGGCCACACUGGGACUGAGAUACGGCCCAGACUCCUACGGGAGGCAGCAGUGGGAAAUAUUGCACAAUGGGCGCAAGCCUGAUGCAGCGACGCCGCGUGAGGGAUGACGGCCUUCGGGUUGUAAACCUCUUUCAAUAGGGACGAAGCGCAAGUGACGGUACCUAUAGAAGAAGCACCGGCCAACUACGUG